CCUUGUUCAAAUGACUAACAUAAUCAACAAAUGGUGAUUUGAGUGCAAUAGCAUAAAUCGCACGUAUCUCUUUUUUACUUGUCGUGCAAGUUGAGUGGUGUCUAAGGAGCAGGUACUGGAAGCAGGAGAAAAAGAAGGAGGAGGAGCUGCUAGGAGAUCUGGAGCUCCUCCAAGAGGACUCUGAGCAGGUAAACUGAACUAGGCUGCAGGGCAGGCAGAUGGAUGGGGCUGCACAGUCCUCAACAAACAGGAAAGGAUUUCUCUUAUGCUGAAUUGUUUGAAUGCAUACGUGUCAUUUUGAUUAUGUUAAUCUCCCUAGUGGCAUUACUGUAUAAUGGAGAUCCCUAUACAUUGUGUUUGUGUGUCUGUGUAUGUGUUUGUGUGUGCACAUGCCUGUAUGUGUGUGAAUGCCUGCAUGUGUGUAUGUGUGUGAGUUUGUGUGUGUGCACUGUAGGCCCAUUGGGCGGACACAGAGAGGCAGAUGAGGGUGGCUGCAGCAGAGCUUCAGGAGGCUGGCCAGUCAGAAGCCCAGAGGAGUGUCCCCCAGCUCUCAGACCUGUCUCUGCUCCUGCCACCUCAUGUUUUGCUUAUCGUCACUCAAGGUGAUGAUAAGGAGUGGGAGCAGCAGUGCUGUUGGCAGACAGAGCUGGUGGCUGGCCUGGGCAGGGUGAACGUGUGCGUGGAGAAACUGCAGCAGGGCCAGGACAGAUCGACAGCACAGAGAGGAGAGCAGACGGCAUCAAUCCAUGUCAUGGCUCUCUUGUAUGGAAAGGAAAGUGAGACAGAGAAAUAUGGGAGCAGCUAAACUCCAGGCAGAAAUACUCUGGCAGGUCCAUGCAGAUAUAGCGCAGGAAUCUCCACCCAGUCUCUGAGAGACCCAAUGAAGGCUCUGCCUCAGGACCAGGAUUCUAAGAGCCCCAGUGUCCCCCAGCCCAGUCAAGAGGGCGAGCCUAUGAAAAAAUCUGUUCAGCCGUCACAUGUCUGUGUCCCCACACUGUCAGAGGAGGAGUGGGAUAAACUGCUGGAGCUUUCCCCACUCUUUCACCUGGGUGAAAGGGUGUGGAGAGGAAGCUGAGUGGCCUGGUGCGAGAUGCAGGACUUCUG